GAUAAUUUCAGAAGUAUCUAAGACUAAUAUGCUCCAGAGAUAAGAAAGCUUUCAGCAGCAAAAUAUUUCUACAAUAUUUGAGGAUUUAAUUCACUUUGUAACUGAUUAGCUACCAUACAUGAGAAGUGCAGAACUCAAUUGACAUUAAGUAGUGGUGUUUUGCUUGUAUAAAACUGUCUCAAACGAAUUGUGUAUUAUUCUAAUUGAAAACUGUUUCAUCUAUAGUAAUAUCAAGACUGGUAUCAUAACUUGUUAAUUAAACUUUACCUGCAAUAAAUUAGACCCAAUCUAUUUCAUUCCUACCUACCAAAUGCAAGUUAAAUGCACACAAACGAGCCAUCAUAUACAAUCACAGGGAAGCACACCACUAUUCCCUUCCACAUCAUAAGAAAAGAUGUUUUAAAUCUUAUGAAGAAGGUUUAGAGGCCAUUUGUGUAGUAAACUAACAAAAGAACAAACUUCUUUGAAGAAACAUUCUCUCUCAGAGUUGAAAAUAAUUUCUGAUUUCCUCUAAAAGUACCAAAUGAUUGUGUAAUAAAUGAGGGUUGAGAAAUAGAGGAUUACCUUCCAAGAAAACAUCAACCACAGCUUGUGUAUUUUUUAAGUGUUGUGAAUUGUACUUUGUGGUACAAGCAGUAAUAAAAGUAAGUAUCUACUUCUAAUAGUGGUGUUCAAUCGUAUCUAGUGACUUUUUAGGAGAGCUGAAUAUACAAGGACACCUUUUUACUGAUGUUCAUAUACAUUUCACUGGCAUCGUUAAAAAGAAUGAACAUUCCAGAGUUGUGAUAGGAAAUGAUAGAUAACUUUGUCUUCUAUCUCAGACUUCCUAUAUGCCCGAUUUGUUCUAGCACAUUGCACACAUUUGCCUGUUUCCUUAUCUGUAAGGUACAACCAGAGCCAAACAAGAACUAGAGUUCCGUGAAAAGUGAGGUUUUGUUUGCACCCCACCUCCUAAAGUGCUGACAAGCAGGAAACAGUCAUUCUUAUAAGUAUGUGCUAACUUCUUGGGGAGGUUUUCUUUUUCACUGUGGGUAAAAUGAGAAAUGUUGGAUGCCUCUAGACCGACAAUUAGCUAACCAAAAGUAAGCAUCCAGUUUUCAGUAGUAUGAAAGCAUCUGAAAGGGGAGGCACCUUUUAUCACGAUUGAAGUGAAACGUUUAAGGAACUUGUUAAUUUAGAAAGAUAAAAGUAUGUGAGCAGGCGUAUGCACUGUGAUCAAAAUAUUCUUUUAAAAAGACACAUGCCAUCAGUAAGUGGUUUAUCUAUGCUAAAAGAAGUGAGCCUCAGCACUCGCAGUUGGCCUCUUGCAGCAGAAUUCAUAUGGCCUCAGUAGCUUGCAGCCCUGCCAACCAAAAUUCUAAAAACUGUUCUUUUUUUUUCUCUUGCGUUGCCAAGUUCCUUACAGCCUUAAAUGUUGGAGAAGAGGUCACUGGAGUUAAAGCAGUGGCUGGGAGGACUUCCCAUAUAAGCAAAGCCCAUUGCCAGUGGCUGUUACAUGUUCGUUUUUCCAGCUGAAUGAAAUCCAGUAGGGGCGGGCUUGCAUUUAGGCUCACAUCAACCACCAGUCCCUUCAGCAGGGCUGGGUUAUUAAAGUACGAGGUGAUUUAGGGAGCAUUGUGUGUCGGCGUCCAUCAGCCUGGGAAGUGCUGCUCAGAUCUGGGAAGUCAUUUAGCUUGGCUGUGUGUUCUCACCACUGCGGAACAGUAUUUAAGCACAAGAUUUCUGGCCCAGGUCAUUGAAUGAUUGUGGUGCACCCUCCUAAAGUCUGAAGUGUUAUGUGAAACCUUGCAGGAAGGGCAUGCUGCAGAAUUAUAAAGUGUGUUCUGCCAUAUAUUGCUUCCCACUAAACUGCAAUGAGAAUUGAUGGGAGAGACCUGUGUGGAGGAAUUAUCUGAAGAUGCUGGUCAGUAUCCAUUCUGAGAGAAGCAGGGCAUCUGAAAGGAGGAGCACUGUGUGUGUUCAGAAAGCUUGGAUAUAUCUUCUCUGGAGUUUAAAGGCGUGGACAGGUGUUUGACAUAUAGGCGAGUUCUAAUGAUGUUUGA
rnacentral:lncRNA from 1 species